rnacentral:rRNA from 1 species
UACGGAGGGUGCUAGCGUUGUUCGGAAUUACUGGGCGUAAAGCGCACGUAGGCGGCUUUGUAAGCUAGAGGUGAAAGCCCGGGGCUCAACUCCGGAACUGCCUUUAAGACUGCAUCGCUUGAAUCCAGGAGAGGUGAGUGGAAUUCCGAGUGUAGAGGUGAAAUUCGUAGAUAUUCGGAAGAACACCAGUGGCGAAGGCGGCUCACUGGACUGGUAUUGACGCUGAGGUGCGAAAGCGUGGGGAGCAAACAGG